GGGGUUGUGGCUCAGUGGUAGAGCGCUUGCCUAACACGCAUGAGGCUCAGUUCGAUCCCC
rnacentral:tRNA from 1 species